GACGAACGCUGGCGGCGUGCUUAACACAUGCAAGUCGAACGGAAAGGCCCUGCUUUUGUGGGGUGCUCGAGUGGCGAACGGGUGAGUAACACGUGAGUAACCUGCCCUUGACUUUGGGAUAACUUCAGGAAACUGGGGCUAAUACCGGAUAGGAGCUCCUGCUGCAUGGUGGGGGUUGGAAAGUUUCGGCGGUUGGGGAUGGACUCGCGGCUUAUCAGCUUGUUGGUGGGGUAGUGGCUUACCAAGGCUUUGACGGGUAGCCGGCCUGAGAGGGUGACCGGCCACAUUGGGACUGAGAUACGGCCCAGACUCCUACGGGAGGCAGCAGUGGGGAAUAUUGCACAAUGGGCGGAAGCCUGAUGCAGCAACGCCGCGUGCGGGAUGACGGCCUUCGGGUUGUAAACCGCUUUCGCCUGUGACGAAGCGUGAGUGACGGUAAUGGGUAAAGAAGCACCGGCUAACUACGUGCCAGCAGCCGCGGUGAUACGUACGGUGCGAGCGUUGUCCGGAUUUAUUGGGCGUAAAGGGCUCGUAGGUGGUUGAUCGCGUCGGAAGUGUAAUCUUGGGGCUUAACCCUGAGCGUGCUUUCGAUACGGGUUGACUUGAGGAAGGUAGGGGAGAAUGGAAUUCCUGGUGGAGCGGUGGAAUGCGCAGAUAUCAGGAGGAACACCAGUGGCGAAGGCGGUUCUCUGGGCCUUUCCUGACGCUGAGGAGCGAAAGCGUGGGGAGCGAACAGGCUUAGAUACCCUGGUAGUCCACGCUGUAAACGGUGGGUACUAGGUGUGGGGUCCAUUCCACGGGUUCCGUGCCGUAGCUAACGCUUUAAGUACCCCGCCUGGGGAGUACGGCCGCAAGGCUAAAACUCAAAGGAAUUGACAGGGCCCCGCACAAGCGGCGGAGCAUGCGGAUUAAUUCGAUGCAACGCGUAGAACCUUACCUGGGUUUGACAUGGAUCGGGAGUGCUCAGAGAUGGGUGUGCCUCUUUUGGGGUCGGUUCACAGGUGGUGCAUGGCUGUCGUCAGCUCGUGUCGUGAGAUGUUGGGUUAAGUCCCGCAACGAGCGCAACCCUUGUUCACUGUUGCCAGCACGUUAUGGUGGGGACUCAGUGGAGACCGCCGGGGUCAACUCGGAGGAAGGUGGGGAUGACGUCAAGUCAUCAUGCCCCUUAUGUCCAGGGCUUCACGCAUGCUACAAUGGCUGGUACAGAGAGUGGCGAGCCUGUGAGGGUGAGCGAAUCUCGGAAAGCCGGUCUCAGUUCGGAUUGGGGUCUGCAACUCGACCUCAUGAAGUCGGAGUCGCUAGUAAUCGCAGAUCAGCAACGCUGCGGUGAAUACGUUCCCGGGGCU
rnacentral:rRNA from 1 species